rnacentral:tRNA from 1 species
AGCUCAACUGGCAGAGCGGCGGCCUCCAAAGCCGAAGGAGCAAGCCCGCGUCCGUUCGAAUCGGACCGUCGAGUCCA